rnacentral:rRNA from 1 species
AAGUAAAAGUCGUAACAAGGUUUCCGUAGGUGAACCUGCGGAAGGAUCAUUAUUGAUUUUUAAAGAUGUGCUGGCACUCCUUCACCGGUUUGCAUGUGCACUCUGCAAAAUCUCCUUCUCUUACCCCACUGUGCACACCCAAGUAGACAAACAGAGUUACAGAGCAAUCUGUGUAAUUCCUGAUUUGCCUAUGUUUUUAUCAAACACCAAUAACAAUAUCAGAAUGAUCUAUAGAGUAAGCUUUUAACAAGCUGAAAUUUAAUACAACUUUCAACAAUGGAUCUCUUGGUUCUCGCAUCGAUGAAGAACGCAGCGAAUUGCGAUAUGUAAUGUGAAUUGCAGAAUUCAGUGAAUCAUCGAAUCUUUGAACGCACCUUGCACCCUCUGGCAUUCCGGAGGGUAUGCCUGUUUGAGUGUCAUUAAUCUCUCAACACAAGAAACUUUGUCUUCUUGUGCUUGGAUAUUGAAGGUUUUGCUGGCGCAAACAACUGUCAGCUCCUUUUAAAUGUAUUAGCAGAGCAGUAUGGGACUGGCCUCGGUUUGAUAAGAAACUUUAUCUAUGCUGUCGCUGGGUUUUCCUCUUUGUGCUCAGCUUCAAAUUGUCUUCGGACUGUCUCUUGAGGCAACAAAAUUUCUAUUGAUCGACCUCAAAUCAGGUAGGACUACCCGCUGAACUUAAGC